AACGAACGCUGGCGGCAUGCCUAACACAUGCAAGUCGAACGAGACCUUCGGGUCUAGUGGCGCACGGGCGCGUAACGCGUGGGAACCUGCCCUUAGGUUCGGAAUAACUCCCCGAAAGGGGUGCUAAUACCGGAUAAUGUCUUCGGACCAAAGAUUUAUCGCCUUUGGAUGGGCCCGCGUUGGAUUAGCUAGUUGGUAGGGUAAAAGCCUACCAAGGCGACGAUCCAUAGCUGGUCUGAGAGGAUGUUCAGCCACACUGGGACUGAGACACGGCCCAGACUCCUACGGGAGGCAGCAGUGGGGAAUAUUGGACAAUGGGCGAAAGCCUGAUCCAGCAAUGCCGCGUGAGUGAUGAAGGCCUUAGGGUUGUAAAGCUCUUUUACCCGGGAUGAUAAUGACAGUACCGGGAGAAUAAGCUCCGGCUAACUCCGUG
rnacentral:rRNA from 1 species